GGAGUCUGGGCCGUGUCUCAGUCCCAAUGUGGCCGAUCAGCCUCUCAGCUCGGCUACGCAUCCCGGCCUUGGUGGGCCAUUAUCCCGCCAACUAGCUAAUGCGACGCAGGUCCAUCCCAUGGCGCGGCAAUUGCCGCCUUUGAUCAAUGAAGCUUGCGCUUCUAUGGUUUCAUCCGGCAUUAGCAAAGAUUUCUCCUUGGUAUUCCGGUCCUUGGGGUAGGUUACCAACGUGUUACUCACCCGUACGCCACUAGAGUAUUGCUACUCCCGUUCGACUUGCAUGUAUUAGGCACGCCGCCGGCGUUUAUC
rnacentral:rRNA from 1 species